GAAAGAGCAAGCCAUGACACAGAGAAAGGGUGUCAUUUCAAUUUUUUAAAACCUGUUGGAUGAGUUGUGUGUGCUUGAUAAUACCUCAUUUUGUAGAGAUUAUUUAAAUUCCUUGAGGUCUCAGACCAAAGCUCUUGGAUUAAGGUACGUUUUUCUUCACCUAGGUUGUCUCUUGCUGAGAAUUAAAGAUAAAUUUUUUAGAACCAGCCCUUCUCACACUGAAGGAAAGUGGAGACUCAUGUCCAUUUAAGACCUCCCCAUUUUUGGGUAACAGUAAAAUGCAUGUGACAGAAUAUAACUAUUACUAAAUCAUUCCCUGCCACUCUAGGAGUGCAUUUAUUAGAGAAAUGCUAGGACUAUUGGAUUGUGUUCUUCCAGUGUUAUGCUUUUGAAGUUGUGGGAAGGCAGGCGGAUUGUCCCCAAAGGAGGUGCCCUUAGUUGAUGUCUGUCAUCCUACACAGGUGGGGUCUUUUAUUUCAUGGCCAGGGCUCUCAAAGGCUUCCUUUUGGCCACAAUGAGAGAAAUCUGGGGGUGAGUGAGUGUCCUCCCAGGUAAAUUAAUGGUGGGUCUGUAAAUAACCAGGGGCCCCAGACUGAAAUCGGGCAGGUUGUAAUUUGUCAGAUACCUGGAUGCCUGUUACCUGUUUCUUUUUAUUCUGUUAUCCUCUAGCAUUUGGUAAACUUUGAUAUAAAUAUUGUGGCCGUUUCUGAGCUACUUUAUUGUAAGAGAAUAGUUGGGAAUCUGUGAUUAGGCUAGAGUUAUAAGGGGAAACAAGGUCUCCCUGAGUGCAGGUGGGGCAUAGAGGUUUUAAAUGGGAAGGAAUAGGUGAUAAGAAUAUGUAAGAGGUUCACUCUACCUCCAUUUGAAGACAGAGGUUUAACGUUAUGAAGACUGUCAACCUGUUUCCUCCUUACACUGUCAGCCUGACAGAUGUCUUUUUAUGUACGUAAAGGUAUUCAGAUCCAGCAGUGCAUUCUCCCACCAGACUUUUGAAGAAUCAGGACAUUUGAGGAACAUUAAGUUCUGACCUUUAAUAGCAGCCACUGGCUUAAUUCUUCAUAUUUUCCAAAAACCACACCCGCCUGCUGGAAUAGAUAGCACAGGGAAGUUGGAUGGACUCCCUGUGCCUUGGGAGUUCUUACUCCCAGAGUGUCUCCUAGUGUUUCCUUUUGCUGUGCUGUGUCCCGUAUAUCCUGUCAUUUCCAUUUAUUUUAUCCUCAAAUUAUAAAGAAUUGUAGUGUUAAGUCCGUUAUUCACUUUAAGAUGCAGCCAGAACAGUGACUGGAGUGGUUUCAUACCUCAUGGGUUUCCCACACUUCCAUCAACACACACUUCACAACACCUUGGAGGCAUUGUGAAAAGGUCAAGCUUUGGAGAUGGGGAAGAGUCCUGAAGAUGUUGGGUGACAUUGUACAGUGAAUGGAGGCUGCCUGCUUGGCACACUUUCCAUCACACAUCACAUUUUGCUAAUCUUUUGGAAUAAGGGGGAAAGACAUUUAAAUGAGAUAAUUAGAGAUAAGAAUGGAGAUUUUAAUCUUUUCCCUGAAGUCAAGAAGGCAGAUAAGGAGAAAUUGCUGUCACUGAAAGACUGUAUAUUUUACAAGAAGUUAUUUCAGAAGCAGUCUCUAUUCCUUUAGGCUUUAAAUGAAC
rnacentral:lncRNA from 1 species